rnacentral:rRNA from 1 species
UACGUAGGGUGCAAGCGUUAAUCGGAAUUACUGGGCGUAAAGCGUGCGCAGGCGGUUCUAUAAGACAGAUGUGAAAUCCCCGGGCUCAACCUGGGAACUGCAUUUGUGACUGUAGAGCUGGAGUACGGUAGAGUGGGAUGGAAUUCCGCGUGUAGCAGUGAAAUGCGUAGAUAUCAAGUGGAACACCAGUGGCGAAGGCGAGUCUCUGGACAUUUCCUGACGCUGAGGCACGAAAGCCAGGGGAGCAAACGGG